rnacentral:rRNA from 1 species
GGGGAAUAUUGGACAAUGGGCGAAAGCCUGAUCCAGCGAUGCCGCGUGAGUGAUGAAGGCCUUAGGGUUGUAAAGCUCUUUUACCCGGGAAGAUAGUGACGGUACCGGGAGAAUAAGCCCCGGCUAACUUCGUGCCAGCAGCCGCGGUAAUACGAAGGGGGCUAGCGUUGUUCGGAUUUACUGGGCGUAAAGCGCACGUAGGCGGAUUCUUAAGUCAGGGGUGAAAUCCCGAGGCUCAACCUCGGAACUGCCUUUGAUACUGGGGAUCUUGAGUCCGGAAGAGGUGAGUGGAACUGCGAGUGUAGAGGUGAAAUUCGUAGAUAUUCGCAAGAACACCAGUGGCGAAGGCGGCUCACUGGUCCGGAACUGACGCUGAGGUGCGAAAGCGUGGGGAGCAAAC